rnacentral:rRNA from 1 species
GUCCGCCAGAGAACUACAAACAAACAUUUGAAACUCAAAGGACUUGACGGUGUCCCAUAUCAACCUAGAGGAGCCUGUCCUACAAUCGAUACUCCACGUUUUACCUCACCCACUCUUGCAAAUCAACCUAUAUACCGCCGUCGCCAGCCGGCCUGAUGACAGCCCGCCGACAAAACAGCAAACACAAAAACGUCAGGUCAAGGUGUAGUUAAUGAGUGGGCAGAGAUGGGCUACAUUUCCCACAAUAGGAAACCACCUACCACAGUUAUGAAAUUACGUAUCAAGGCGGAUUUAGCAGUAAGCCGGGACAAGAUAUGCCACCCUGAA